GGUGACACAUCCGGGAGCCCCGCCGCGCGCCAGAUGUGCACUCACCGGGGCCCGCCGCCCGCGAGCCUCGGACGCGGGCCGCCGCCGACGCCGCCGCCUCUGGCCCUCCACGUCAGCCAGCGGGCAGGCGGGAGCUGGCGGCGGCGCAGGCGACAAGCGCAUCACGUGAGCAACGCACAUGCGCAGCCGUGCAGCCCCGCCCUCUUCCGCGGCGGCGAGCGGAGCGAUCAGGCAGUUCCCGGCGCUCGCGCGCUCCGGGACGGCAAGGGUCGCGUCCUGUAUCUCGUGUGGGCAUUUAUUCCUGAAUCUUGGCUAAACUCCUUGGGAUUAACCUAUUGGCCUCAAAAGACCCGGGCCGGGAAGAUGGCGGACGUUCAGACAGAGCGCGCCUACCAAAAGCAGCCAACCAUCUUUCAAAAUUAGAAGAGGGUCCUGCUUGGAGAAACUGGCAAGGAGAAGCUCCCGCGAUACUACAAAAAUAUCGGUCUGGGCUUCAAGACGUCCAAGGAGGCCAUUGAGGGCACCUACAUUGACAAGAAAUGCCCCUUUACUGGUAAUGUCUCCAUCCGAGGGCGGAUUCUUUCUGGUGUGGCGACCAAGAUGAAGAUGCAGAGGACCAUUGUCAUCCGCCGAGACUACCUCCACUACAUCCGAAAGUACAACGGCUUUGAGAAGCGCCACAAGAACAUGUCUGUGCACCUGUCCCCCUGCUUCAGGGAUGUCCAGAUCGGCGACAUCAUCACAGUGGGUGAGUGCCGGCCCUUGAGCAAGACUGUGCGUUUCAACGUGCUCAAAGUCACAAAGGCUGCUGGCACCAAGAAACAGUUCCAGAAGUUCUGAGACGAGACAUCUGUCCACACCCCUGAAGAAAAUAAAGUUACUUUCCC